rnacentral:rRNA from 1 species
UGGGGAAUAUUGCACAAUGGGGGAAACCCUGAUGCAGCGACGCCGCGUGAACGAAGAAGGUAUUCGUAUCGUAAAGUUCUGUCCUAUGGGAAGAUAAUGACAGUACCAUAGAAGAAAGCUCCGGCUAAAUACGUGCCAGCAGCCGCGGUAAUACGUAUGGAGCGAGCGUUGUCCGGAAUUAUUGGGCGUAAAGGGUACGCAGGCGGUUUAAUAAGUCGAAUGUUAAAGAUCGGGGCUCAACCCCGCAAAGCAUUGGAAACUGAUAAACUUGAGUAGUGGAGAGGAAAGUGGAAUUCCUAGUGUAGUGGUGGAAUACGUAGAUAUUAGGAGGAAUACCAGUAGCGAAGGCGACUUUCUGGACACAAACUGACGCUGAGGUACGAAAGCGUGGGGAGCAAACAGG